UUGGCGACAUUGCCAAGUGGUAAGGCGGGGGACUGCAAACCUUUUUUCCCCAGUUCAAAUCCGGGUGUCAAA
rnacentral:tRNA from 1 species